rnacentral:rRNA from 1 species
GACAGAGGGUGCAAACGUUGUUCGGAAUGACUGGGCGUAAAGCGCGUGUAGGCGGCUCGGCAAGUCGGAUGUGAAAGCCCUGGGCUCAACCCAGGAAGUGCACUCGAAACUGACCGAGCUGGAGUCCCGGAGAGGAAGGCGGAAUUCUCGGUGUAGAGGUGAAAUUCGUAGAUAUCGAGAGGAACACCGGUGGCGAAGGCGCCUUCUGGACGGCGACUGACGCUGAGACGCGAAAGCGUGGGGAGCAAACAGGG